rnacentral:rRNA from 1 species
GACGAACGCUGGCGGCGUGCUUAACACAUGCAAGUCGAACGAUGAACCACUUCGGUGGGGAUUAGUGGCGAACGGGUGAGUAACACGUGGGCAAUCUGCCCUUCACUCUGGGACAAGCCCUGGAAACGGGGUCUAAUACCGGAUAGCACUCCUGCCUGCAUGGGUGGGGGUUGAAAGCUCCGGCGGUGAAGGAUGAGCCCGCGGCCUAUCAGCUUGUUGGUGAGGUAAUGGCUCACCAAGGCGACGACGGGUAGCCGGCCUGAGAGGGCGACCGGCCACACUGGGACUGAGACACGGCCCAGACUCCUACGGGAGGCAGCAGUGGGGAAUAUUGCACAAUGGGCGAAAGCCUGAUGCAGCGACGCCGCGUGAGGGAUGACGGCCUUCGGGUUGUAAACCUCUUUCAGCAGGGAAGAAGCGCAAGUGACGGUACCUGCAGAAGAAGCGCCGGCUAACUACGUGCCAGCCGCCGCGGUAACAC